UUGGGGCGAUUGUCGGACUAGUCGCUGUUGAAGGAACGAGGCAUUUACCGAGUGACUAGACCGUACACUCGCGUCCUAAACG
rnacentral:pre_miRNA from 1 species